rnacentral:misc_RNA from 1 species
AAGUCGUAACAAGGUUUCCGUAGGUGAACCUGCGGAAGGAUCAUUAAUGAAUAAACUUGGUGGACUGUUGCUGGCUCCUCUGGGGGCAUGUGCACGUCUGUCAUCUUUAUCUUUCCACCUGUGCACUUUCUGUAGAACUUGGGAGACUAACUUUCCGAGGUCAACUCGGUUGUGAGGAGUUGCAGGCCCGGAUUAAUGGGUCAGCUCUCUUUGGAGGUCACCAAGGCUCUAUGUUUUUCACAUACACCUAAUGAAAUAUAAAAGAAUGUAAUCCAUGGGUCUUUGCACCUAUAUAAAGUUAUACAACUUUCAGCAACGGAUCUCUUGGCUCUC